rnacentral:misc_RNA from 1 species
GUACCUUCAAGCUUUGCUUGGUGUUGGGUGUUUGUCUCGCCUCUGCGCGCAGACUCGCCUCAAAACGAUUGGCAGCCGGCGUAUUGAUUUCGGAGCGCAGUACAUCUCGCGCUUUGCACUCACAACGACGACGUCCAAAAAGUACAUUUUUUACACUC